AGUCGAACGGCAGCACAGCAGUAGCAAUACUGUGGGUGGCGAGUGGCGGACGGGUGAGUAAUGCAUCGGGACCUACCUAGACGUGGGGGAUAACGUAGGGAAACUUACGCUAAUACCGCAUACGUCCUACGGGAGAAAGCAGGGGACCUUCGGGCCUUGCGCGGUUAGACGGACCGAUGUUCGAUUAGCUAGUUGGUAGGGUAAUGGCCUACCAAGGCGACGAUCGAUAGCUGGUCUGAGAGGAUGAUCAGCCACACUGGAACUGAGACACGGUCCAGACUCCUACGGGAGGCAGCAGUGGGGAAUAUUGGACAAUGGGCGCAAGCCUGAUCCAGCAAUGCCGCGUGUGUGAAGAAGGCCUUCGGGUUGUAAAGCACUUUUAUCAGGAGCGAAACGCUGUCGGCUAAUACCCGGCGGAACUGACGGUACCUGAGGAAUAAGCACCGGCUAACUUCGUGCCAGCAGCCGCGGUAAUACGAAGGGUGCGAGCGUUAAUCGGAAUUACUGGGCGUAAAGCGUGCGUAGGCGGUUUGUUAAGUCUGUUGUGAAAUCCCCGGGCUCAACCUGGGAAUGGCAAUGGAUACUGGCAAGCUAGAGUGUGAUAGAGGAUGGUGGAAUUCCCGGUGUAGCGGUGAAAUGCGUAGAGAUCGGGAGGAACAUCAGUGGCGAAGGCGGCCAUCUGGAUCAACACUGACGCUGAGGCACGAAAGCGUG
rnacentral:rRNA from 1 species